AAUACAUGGCGUUACAUUAACUCCACUGCCACUCUAUACUAUGUCAUUUAUAUUACGUGACAUGAGUUACGUUCUAUAUGAUGUAAAUUAAUUACAGUCAAAUAUUUUUUUAGCAAAAAGAUUUGCAUGGUAUUUUCUUUUAAGAAAAGGUUGAGUAGUUCGCAUUGGUUGCGUUUCUGGUAUCCUUUCUGAAAGUCUUGACAAAAUACUUGGUUUCCUUUUAUCAUCCCUUUUCACACGAAGAGAGAUUGUGUCUGCAUUUGAGGAUUUCCUAUAUUUGUCAUAUUUGAUAGAUUUGGCAUUUGCAUUUGUGGAGGAGGCAUUCUUGGCAUACUUGGUGGACCAGGUCUCAACAUCCUCGGCAUUCCUGGUGGUGGGCCUAUAAUCACAAACAAAGAGGUAAUCGAAGUCCAAUACGGGGCGGUGGGGGCGGUGGCAUCCUUAAAUGUAAAGGUGGUGGUGGAGGUCUAUACAUUAAAGGAGGCGGCGGCAAUCCCAUAGGUGGCAUUGUGUAUUUAUUAUUAGACUUUGAAUUAGAUUCAUUUUCUGCUUCCAGUAGUGACAAUCGAGCAUUUAAAUCUUGAGCUCGUUCAGUUUCACGCUUUUUAUGAACAACUUC